AUUUGCCAGUCCCAAGGGAAGCCUGGAGCUGAAUUCUCUUUAUGUUAUUGUGAAUGUUGCCAAUAAAGCCAAACUUCAAGAAAAGCUGAGUAGCCUUGGAGUUAGAGCAAAUUGGGAGGCCACUUAUGAAGACUUAAGGAACGUGAACCUGGAAAGGACAUUCGCUCGCUUGAUGAAGUCUUGCUUCCAGCUAACAUAUAGCAAAAUGUUGUUCAUCAAUAAGAAAGAAGAGAGGCAAAAGGAAGAGUAAAUAUAAUGAAGACCUGGGUCAAAACUGACUGACUGCUUCUUUGAACUUUCACUGAAGAGAGCAGUGUUGAGCCUGGGAAGAAGAACAGAAUAUCUGAAUGGAAUGAAAGUAGAAUUAAACAUAUACCAGAGGGGCAAAAAACUCAAAGAACUCAAAUUCAGGAAACUGCAAUUAAUGCAUCAAGAAGCACACAAAAAAUUCAGCAAUACAAACAGGAACUGUAGUGGGCCAGUUUACCUGCCCAAGCAAAUGAGAGCAGCUAGACUGGGAGAGUGUGCCUUCACCUGCUGUGAAGAGACCACCGUGUUAUGGUUGAAAAUGGCAUCGUAAUUGUUGCUUUCCUAAGUGAAGAACCUUCUCAGGAGUGUUUGGGAACAAGGCUGUCUGCCACAGCUAAUAACUCACUCAGUAUCUACCCCUCCAGAAUCAUAAUGCUUCGGCCCCAACUGCGCGCCUGCUAUGUAUGACAACGCAGCUGAUGAAUGUCGAAUUGCUUCAUCUUUCUUAUGCUGCCUGAACGUGAACAGAAGUAACACCAGUGAGGUAGUCAGUGCUUUCAGGCCCUGCGCUUGGCAUCACAUCGUCCCGCAACAGCCAGGAUUUGCAGUUCCAGGGAAGCCUGUCAGCCUUCCAGCUCUGGGCUGGAGCAGGCUCAGCAUCAAGGAAAUAGUCAGCUAAAGUGGCUGCUACACUCUGAGAAGGCUCUCAGCAGCUCUGUCUUCUUUCAGAGUGCCAAGGCUAAGUCCCCUCACUGGAAUCCUCCUAACAAUAUUUGGACUCUAAUGUCUACCACAGGCUCAAGCAUCAGGUCACUCCUGGACUUUCCUUCAAGCCCCUUGAUCUUUGAAUGCACUGGUGCGUACAGCUGUCCUGUCCAUUCCGCAGCAGUCACACUGGGUCACCAGAGCGCCUGUCUUAUUUCUGUCCCACAGAGAGGCUGAGACCAGGACUCUCCCUGCUGCCCAAGGCUUCUCCUCCCAGCCUGGGCUGUGCCACCGCCUCUGAAGGGAACUAGAAAUCACCUGAACUGCCUCCAAAUGCUCCCAUAAAGACUGAGUUUUUUGUCUUCCGUUAGUUUUUUCUUAACAAGUGUGGAGUUUGUGUAUCUUAUAUUUCCCAAAGGUGAGGUAGUAUCAGGGCAUUUUGUAUGAAUUGACUUGCGUACAGAAACACUUCUGUCUGAAAGAACACCUGUUGCAGCUGAUGAUUUUGAUAUUUGGAUAAUAUCAAUGUACAUCUGGAUCCAUCUUCUUUACCACUGGCAUUACAGUCAGGGUCUGCUCUUACACAGGUCAGAGGAAUUUUGUUUUAACAAGAGCCACACUGCAAAGUAAAGCAAGCAGGAGCAGGGAAAAGCUUGGCUUGCCACUAGUUACCCAUCACAGGAGGCCACAAACUGCAGAUGCGCAAAUCGAACACAGGAUGCUGUCUGUAUGGACUCUGCCUUCCCUCUGUUAGUAGCCAGCAGCGUUUGGCUCUUCAUCACAUCCACUCAAAAUUGAGAGUAGCUUAAAGGACUCUGCAUUCACUGGAACCCAGUGGAAGCUGGGUGCCUAAUGCUGAUAAACACUGCUCAAAAGCCUUACAUGCAAUCUUUGCCUAUCUGAUCUCCUACCACUCACCUUUACUACAACUUACCAGGCAGAGGUUCAGGCCGAGGGCAAAACCGUUCAGUAGGUGAAAGCCUAUGCAGCAACAAGAGCAAAAAGAGAUAGUGGCGCUCUUAAAAGUUCUGAUCCCCUGUUCAUAAUUGAUAAGAAUAAAUCCACACUGAGACAUUCAAAUGGCUUGAAGCCCAUCAAGGUAUUUCAGUGCUUAGGGCAUUUUGCCAGUACUCUUGCCAUCUUUUAGCAGUUUUCCUUAAUUUUCAUUUGUUAACAUCCAUAAAACAGGUAAAGAUUUCCAGAAGAUAAAAACAGACAUCAAUUCUUUAACAUGAAGUGUGUGCAUUAAAAAUGACAGGCUCCAUUCAAAUCCCAUGGGAAUGAAGCAUACCAAGUUUUAUCUGGCACUCAACAUGCUCAUCUAUUCGGAGAAGUAGUCUAAGGGACUCCUAACCCUGGUUUCAGGGAUGGGUUCUGACACAAAUCCAUUUGUACUACAUAAAUCAUGAAUUCAUUCCUUCAAAUACCAAAGUCGAUUUUGAAAUCUUAUGUUUGUAGCGGAUCAUCAAUAAUCAUCAGUAGUAUCACCUAAAAAAAAAAAGUAAGAGGAACUUUUAACAAUAUUAGAGUGAGUGCAAUGGGAACAGAACAUGAGAGAAUUUUCUUAGCUACAAAUCUGAAGUGGAAGUGAAUGUUAAAUGUAUGCCUCAUACUAAAACUUUAUGAAAAAUGAAAUGUACAAAAAGCUGGAUCCUUGCCAUGACACCCAUUAUGGUGAAGUCUGAGACUCUGACCCUUCGUGUUAUACUUAUUGUGUUUUUGACACAUUUAGUCAAUUAAAAUGGGUGAAGUGUAAUUUGUUUUUCUUAAGUUUAAUACAGCAUGUCAAUAGAAGCUAACCAAAAUUUAUAGUAGGAACACUAAAACUGCCACUUGCACUUAAACAAAUGAACACAAUUUAUCAUGGUUGAAAUAAAAAGAACAUCAUGUGCAUUUGACUUUAUACUUCACAUGAGCAUGUUGCCAAAUAUAGGAAAGCAUGUUACAGCUGACACUUCCAAUGGAAAAGACAUUUUACUUCACAUUAAAUAUUGGUGUGAAAAAUUUGGACCCUGUCCAAUCCUAAGAAGUGUUAACGUUGGCACUUCCACUGUAUACUUUUACUGUAAAUUGUUGUAACAUUUAUUUGACAUGGAAUACCCAAAGGAUUGAUGAGUAAAGAAAGGAAGACUUUUUAUUGUGCCAUGUUCCCUUUUUCAGUCAUACAUACUAAGCCUUUACAUCUUCAGAGUUUAAACAAGUCGCCACCUGUACUCAAUCGGUGAAAGUUAUUUUUCAUGCAACUAGAGUUUGCCUUUUUUAUAAACCUAUAAAAGCACACAUUUUCCAUUUUAUUAGUCAGCAAAGCAAUGGCUGAUUUAACCAUAAAAGUUACAAAUGUUGUUUCUUUAUGGAGAUCUAUGUUUUUUUAACCCUUUACAAUUCCUUGCAAUAUAAACCUCCUUCAUUUUGUUCCUUGUCAUAGACUGAAAACACAAAACAAACUGCACUGUUUUUUCUUUUCAUUAGAAAAGUUUACCUAGCACUACUACCAUUUAUAUUAUUACCCAUGGACUACUAAAGAUUUAGGAGGAACAAAGUGCUGCUGCGUAAAAAUUUAUCCGCUUCAAUUAAGUACCUGCACAAGAAUUCUGUGUUCCUAUUACGUGAACUAUAACUGCAUUUAUCUGCAGUAAUGAAGCACUGUAAAAUGUCGGAAAAGUGCUGAGGGGCACUUCAUAUGAUUUACUGAACUGAUCUCUAGGUUAAGAAAGCAUGCCUAAGACAGAGGAUUUUUUUUUAAUCCAUAUUUUUCAAAUUAAGAAAUUCCAUAGCAUUUUGAAUUAUAAAAUUAAAUUCUAGAGCCACAGACAUGAAAAUGAUUGAGGUAUUUUAACAAUGUUUUUUAAAGACCAGAUCCAAGACGUUGAAUUUUGAUCUAUGUAAAUACAGCACUUUGAGAUUUCUGUAUUUGAUUAUAACUUAAAAGGGUAAUAUACACACAUAAAUGCAUAGAGAACAGAUUUUUCAAAACAGACAAGAAACACGGCUGUCCCAUACCAAGUAGAAAACUCAGCAACAAAGUGACAUAAAGAAUUAGGAGGAUUUAACAGCAGAUGAGAUGAGCUCAUGCCUAGGGGUGCAUGUGCUGGCACCAGGAACAUGAUAGAGUGGCAUCUUCAGAACAUCUCUGGAGAGAGCGAUGGGUUUAUUAGGCCUUUUAAUCUUCAACUACUGAAAGGCAUAAUUCUGCAGUAAAUGGAAAAGAAAUAUUCUCUACUUGGUUUGUGUUUCUGGCCUACAACAGCCAAUCUGAAAACCAGCUUCUGAAUCCAAAGCCUGAGCAAGGGAUUUUGGAUAGAGGAGACACAUAUCACAGACCUACUAGGCACACCUCCUCCUUCUCUCUCUGCUUAUGAUAAAUAUGCUCUCUAGAAAAGACGAAGGAGAAAACAAACAGAAGAAUACGUAGAGGAUGGGAGAAAAGAGAAGAUCUGUUUUUUGAUAAAUUUCACAGUGUUUGGAUGAGGGCUAAUGAUGACACCAAGAAAAGAGUGUCAGCAAAAGCAAGUUCACCUCAAUCUUCUUUCAGCCAUGCAUGAUCAAGCCAUGAUUGCUUCAAUACUAUUGAUACAGGCAAUGUUGUAUGUGAUUAUCCUACAUGCUCUAGAGAUCUUAACAGUUUUUCUUGUGGCUGAUUCAAAAUAGGUUGAUAUAAAAAGUGUUGUCAUAUCUGGAUGUGUUCAUAUCCAGGUGAAAAUUCCAAGUUUCACCUCAUCACCAUCACAUCAUAACUCAUCAACCUCCUCACGCUGCUUAGCAAAUAUGGAAGGAAAAGAGAUCAUCCCUAUCUCCAGAUACUGUCAUUUUAAUCUUAUAUUCAAAAUAUACCUGAAUAACCCACAUCCUAUAGGCAGUCAAUUAACCCGUGUGCUUUGGAACAGGAUGCCCAGAGAGGAUGUGCAGACCUCCAUCCUUCGAGGUUUUCAAGACCCAACUGGGCUAAGCCCUGAGCAGCCUGGUCUGACCUCAGAGUUUACUCUGCUUGGAGCAGGAGUUUGGACUAGAGACCUCCUGAGAUCCUCUCCAUCCUGAAUUAUCCUGUGAUCCUAUGAUUAAGUCCCUUGCUUCAGCUGAGGUGAGACAAAUUCAAAAACAUUUUUAAGCCAAAACGAGGAAGAAAACACAGGCAUUUGAUUGUAACUGAUUAAAUAAAUUAAUAUAAGUUCUUG